rfam:Picea glauca, whole genome shotgun sequence.
ACAUGUGUAUAACAUAAUGUUAAUGCACCAGUCCCAUUAGAAAUCCACAGUUAAGCAUGCUCAGGCUAGAGUAGUAUUAGGAUGGGUGACUGCCCAUGAAGCCCUAGUGUUUUACAUGUC